rnacentral:rRNA from 1 species
GAUGAACGCUAGCGACAGGCUUAACACAUGCAAGUCGAGGGGCAGCAUAAAAGUAGCAAUACUUUGGUGGCGACCGGCGCACGGGUGAGUAACGCGUAUGCAACCUACCUAUCAGAGGGGAAUAACCCGGCGAAAGUCGGACUAAUACCGCAUAAAACAGGGGCACCGCAUGGUGAUCUUUGUCAAAGAAAUUCGCUGAUAGAUGGGCAUGCGUUCCAUUAGGUAGUUGGUGAGGUAACGGCUCACCAAGCCGACGAUGGAUAGGGGAACUGAGAGGUUGGUCCCCCACACUGGUACUGAGACACGGACCAGACUCCUACGGGAGGCAGCAGUGAGGAAUAUUGGUCAAUGGGCGGGAGCCUGAACCAGCCAAGUCGCGUGAAGGAAGAAGGAUCUAUGGUUCGUAAACUUCUUUUGCAGGGGAAUAAAGUGCAGGACGUGUCCUGUUUUGUAUGUACCCUGAGAAUAAGGAUCGGCUAACUCCGUGCCAGCCGCCGCCGUAACAC